UGCAAGUCGAACGAACUCUUCGGAGUUAGUGGCGCACGGGUGAGUAACGCGUGGGAAUGUGCCCCUUAGUACGGAACAACAGUUGGAAACGACUGCUAAUACCGUAUAAUAUCUACGGAUCAAAGAUUUAUCGCUAAGGGAUCAGCCCGCGUCUGAUUAGGUAGUUGGUGAGGUAAGAGCUCACCAAGCCGACGAUCAGUAGAUGGUUUGAGAGGAUGAUCAUCCACACUGAUACUGAGACACGGACCAGACUCCUACGGGAGGCAGCAGUGAGGAAUAUUAGACAAUGGGCGCAAGCCUGAUCUAGCCAUGCCGCGUGAGUGAAGAAGGCCUUCGGGUUGUAAAGCUCUUUCAGAUGUGAGGAUAAUGACAGUAACAUCAGAAGAAGCCCCGGCUAAAUUCGUGCCAGCAGCCGCGGUAAUACGAAUGGGGCAAGCGUUGUUCGGAAUCACUGGGCGUAUAGCGUACGUAGGCGGUUUUUCAAGUCAGGAGUGAAAUCCCA
rnacentral:rRNA from 1 species